CAACAUUCUGAACCACUUCCCUCAUACAGACCCGGGAUGACAUUUUGACUUUCUAACUUGUUGCUGUAUGGGAUUGAACAAAUCAUUUAGCCUGAGACUGUUCCCUGCUUUGUACAACAGUGCCUAGGAAAUGCUAAUGAGAAAACGGGAGUGGUAGCGAUAACGGUAAUAGUGAUAAUGCUGCUAGUGGAGGAAAGAUGGCGACGGUGGUGAUGAUUCCGUCAAGAUGUGAUGGUGGCGAUAACAGUAGUGGCCGCGUAGAUGGUACAGAGAUGAUGGUGAUGCUGGUAGAGGUGGAGACAGCAGGAGUAGUGAUGACGACAGCGGUGAUGGAGGCCAUGGUGGCGGCUGCAGGGUAACCCUGUGAUCCGUGCUGGUGUUCGUGGUAGUCCGUGGUGGUGGUAGCAGAGGCAAUAAUGACAAUAGCUAAGGUGGCGGUGGUGGUGUUAGCCGGAGGUGGUAACAGUGGUGACGGUGGAGAUGGGCCUUUCCACGUUCUCCCCUUCUCCGGUUCACUCUGAAAACCUGACGUCUUGCUGACUCUCUGAUGAAAAAAGCAAGAGAGAACACUAAAAUACAGAUCUCUCUCACCAAAGCCUUCCUCUCCCUGUCCCAGCUACAUAACAUUUCAACGAGGUUUGAAAAACAAACUGGGAACCAAGGUGCAUCUCCUACUCAACAAACUGGAGUUCCAAGAAUUUUGAGUCAAGGGCUGAGUGACAAUUUAUCUGUAGUUCUGAAGAACCGAACCGUGAAGCAAUUUUGCAGAAACUGUGUUCUGUGGAGGUUUGGGGAAGUAUCGGACAGUGGGGAUAUGAGAGCUGAGUUGGGACCCAAGCUCAAGUCCGAAGCCAUGACCAGCAAUCCAUGCCGUCUCUCACCCCUCCAUCUCGCAUCUGCAUCGCAUCUGCAAACUGGGCAUUAAUCUACACAAAGGUGUGGGUCUCAGACUGAACUCAAUCGUUUUGCAUAGCUGGGCAUGAUGCUGCCCUUCUGACCCUCGCCUCUGCCUCCUAACUGCUGGGGUUACAGGUAUGUGCCACCAUGCCUGGCUUAUGUGUAACUGGGAAUUUAACCCCAGGCUUCAUUCACGCUAGGCAAGCUUGAUCAAUUGAUCGCUAUCCCAAACCCUGAACAUAAAGAAAAUAAACUUUCUUUCUUUAAGCAAAGGUGUGGCUCCCAGCUGUCCCCAUGUGACAUCACUGAGCCAACCUCAUUCCGUUCCCAAGCACUUUCCUGGGCCCUAGUUUAUAAUAAGCUCAGUCUUAAGAGAGGGUCUGGGUAGGUCGUCAGUCGUCUUGUCCUGAGCUCUGGCUUGUGAUAGAGGUUAUCUGAGGCCUCUGGGGUACGUGGACACGUAUGUUCAUCUUUCUGGGCUUGGCAAUCUCUUCUUGGGGAACAUUCCUAUAUCCUUUCUAAUAACCCCUUCCCAGUGGCCUGUGUGUUUUAUAGGGCAGAGUGAAAAGAGUGAACCAAAAACACCAGAAAGAACAACUGAGCGUCUCAGAGAAGAGAUCCUUACAAUCUGUUCCCAGGGAGAUGCCCGGCAGAGUGUCACAAUUCCAGAACUCUCUGCGUUAGGCAAUCGUGCAGCCUCUGAGGCUUUUCCUUCUACCCACAAUGCCCUCUUUCUAGCCUCCUGACCCGGGGUCAUGUGAUUUCAGACACUGAACAUCAUCCUGCCUGCAGAAUGGCAUAGACACAGCUGUACCGGCUUUGCAUAUGGUCAAACUUUCCUUCCCACCAUCUUCUACACCAAGCCUGCACGUGGUCCCAGAACAGUUCAGUCUCUACACCUCUCCAGGGGCAUCAUCUUCCUAGCAACAGUUGCCAAGGGAAAUUAUAAGGAUGGACCUAACUCCAGGGAGGGAAUGAAGAUCUAGAGGGAUAAAUAACACAACUGUAUGGAGGGGUUGGAGGGAGGAGGGCUUGCCACCACAAGGUGAGUAGAGCAACUUCCCCAGUUAGCAUGCUGUCUGUUCUCAUGUGAGAUGCUCUGAUGUCCUUUCUACUGAAUUUGAUGUUUUGCAUUCCUGAAAUAUAAGUUCUGGGAAUUAUUUAUUUCAAAGCUUUUUAGCCCUAUCAGAUCCAACAUCCGAUUUGUACAACAAAUACGUUAUCAGUAACAGUCUCUUGGUCAUUCUUAAAUGACACUAUAGGCAUACAACCUAAGUCAAUAUGUUUUUAAAGAUUUAUUUAUUUAUUAUAUGUAAGUACACUGUAGCUGUCUUCAGAUACUCCAGAAGAGGGAGUCAUAUCUCGUUACAGAUGGUUGUAAGCCAUCAUGCGGUUGCUGGGAUUUGAACUCAGGACCUUCGGAAGAGCAGUCAGUGUUCUAUAUAGUGUCCUAUGGUGGACAUGGGAAAUGAGGCUUUCAAAAUAUUUUGCAGGCAUUUCCUGACCUAGUCCAGUGCUUCCUUCAUAAGGUGAAUAAAGAGGCUGAGAGAACGCAUGACUUGAUCACGGAAUGCUGAAAUGAAAACCAGCAUCUUCCAGAACCUAACACAGGGACUUCACUGAACCCCUGGGAUUCUCUCUCACUCCCUGGAUGUACAACUUCAAGUUAUGUUGAAAAAGUGCAGUGUUAGCCACGGUUUCUUUAUCAUCUA
rnacentral:lncRNA from 1 species